rnacentral:rRNA from 1 species
CCUACGGGUGGCAGCAGUGGGGAAUAUUGGACAAUGGGCGAAACCUGAUCCAGCCAUGCCGCGUGUGUGAAGAGGCCUUCGGAUUGUAAGCACUUUAAGCUGGGAGGCGUUACCGACAGAAUAAGCACCGGCUAACUCUGUGCCAGCAGCCGCGGUAAUACAGAGGGUGCAAGCGUUAAUCGGAAUUACUGGGCGUAAAGCGCGCGUAGGCGGUUUGUUAAGUCGGAGGUGAAAUCCCCGGGCUCAACCUGGGAACUGCAUCCGAAACUGGCAAGCUAGAGUAUGGUAGAGGGUGGUGGAAUUUCGUGUGUAGCGGUGAAAUGCGUAGAUAUAGGGAGGAACACCAGUGGCGAAGGCGGCCCCCUGGACUGAACUGACACUGAGGUGCGAAAGCGUGGGGAGCAAACAGGAUUAGAUACCCUUGUAGUC